CCAGAUGAUCGGAUGAUCACCAGAGCUUGCUCUGGAGGAAAGUCCGGGCUCCAGAAAACAGAAUGCCGGAUAACGUCCGGCGGGGGAAACCUCAGGGAAAGUGCCACAGAAAACAAACCACCUUUUGCUUGCAAAAGGUAAGGGUGAAAAGGGGCGGUAAGAGCGCACCGCGUCUUUGGUAACAAAGGCGGCAGGGUAAACCCCAUUCGGAGCAAGGUCAAAUAGGGACACCGCGAAAGAUUCGUCUUUCAUCUUUGUUUUCAAGAAGGUGUUCGGGUAGACUGCUCGAGGUAAAUGGUAACAUUUAUCCCAGAUGAAUGAUCAUCGUGUCUUCAUCAGAAGACAUACAGAACCCGGCUUAUAGAUCGUCUGGCUAU
rnacentral:RNase_P_RNA from 1 species